rnacentral:rRNA from 1 species
GACGAACGCUGGCGGCGUGCUUAACACAUGCAAGUCGAACGGAAAGGCCCUGCUUUUGUGGGGUGCUCGAGUGGCGAACGGGUGAGUAACACGUGAGUAACCUGCCCUUGACUUUGGGAUAACUUCAGGAAACUGGGGCUAAUACCGGAUAGGAGCUCCUGCUGCAUGGUGGGGGUUGGAAAGUUUCGGCGGUUGGGGAUGGACUCGCGGCUUAUCAGCUUGUUGGUGGGGUAGUGGCUUACCAAGGCUUUGACGGGUAGCCGGCCUGAGAGGGUGACCGGCCACAAUGGGACUGAGGUACGGCCCAGUCGGCUACGGGAGGCAGCAGUGGGGAAUAUUGCACAAUGGGCCGAAGCCUGAUACGGCAGCGCCGCGUGCGGGAUGACGGCCUUCGGGUUGUAAACCGCUUUCGCCUGUGACGAAGCGUGAGUGACGGUAAUGGGUAAAGAAGCACCGGCUAACUACGUG